rnacentral:rRNA from 1 species
GACGAACGCUGGCGGCGUGCUUAACACAUGCAAGUCGAACGGUGAAGCGCCUUCCUUUUUGGUGGGUGUGGAUGAGUGGCGAACGGGUGAGUAACACGUGAGUAACCUGCCUCCUUCUUCUGGAUAACCGCAUGAAAGUGUGGCUAAUACGGGAUAUUCUGGGUCUGUCGCAUGAUGGGUCUGGGAAAGAUAUUGUUUCGGUGGGGGAUGGGCUCGCGGCCUAUCAGCUUGUUGGUGGGGUGAUGGCCUACCAAGGCGGUGACGGGUAGCCGGCCUGAGAGGGUGGACGGUCACACUGGGACUGAGACACGGCCCAGACUCCUACGGGAGGCAGCAGUGGGGAAUAUUGCACAAUGGGCGCAAGCCUGAUGCAGCGACGCCGCGUGAGGGAUGGAGGCCUUCGGGUUGUGAACCUCUUUCGCCAGUGAAGCAGGCCUGCCUCGUUUGUGGGUGGGUUGACGGUAGCUGGAGAAGAAGCGCCGGCUAACUACGUG